rnacentral:ncRNA from 1 species
GUCCGUUUCCCUGCUUGCACCCGAAUGGGUGGGCUACGACCCCUGAGGUAGGGGAAACAAUCAUUCAGAAGAGGC